GCCGAAGUGGCGGAAUUGGCAGACGCGUACGACUCAAAAUCGUAUGAGGUCACCCUCGUGCCGGUUCAAGUCCGGCCUUCGGCA
rnacentral:tRNA from 1 species